AGCUAGUUGGAUGAUCGCUCUAUCAUGAUAUAUAAUAUCAUAUAUAGAGAGGAAAGUCCGAGCACCGCAGGACAAGGAGCCUUGUAACGCAAGGAAUCCGUGAGGAUAUGGAAAGUGCAGCAGAAAAUAGACCGCCUAUUAUAUAGGUAAGGGUGAAAAGGUGGUGUAAGAGACCACCAGUCUUUCUUUAAAUAGAUUGAGCUUGUAAACCCCUCCUGGUGCAAGAUCGAAUAGGUUCAGAGAUGUUGUCCGUAUCAUUUGAUGAACGGGUAGGUCGCUCCAGCUUACUGAUAACAGUAAGCGCAGACAAAUGAUCAUCAAACCCAUUGGGUGAACAAGACUCGGCUUAUAGACUAGCUCA
rnacentral:RNase_P_RNA from 1 species